rnacentral:rRNA from 1 species
GGUUAAGCGACUAAGCGUACACGGUGGAUGCCCUGGCAGUCAGAGGCGAUGAAGGACGUGCUAAUCUGCGAAAAGCGCCGGCGAGGUGAUAUGAACCUUUGACCCGGCGAUGUCCGAAUGGGGAAACCCAGUGUGUUCCGACACACUAUCGUUAACUGAAUACAUAGGUUAACGAGGCGAACCGGGGGAACUGAAACAUCUAAGUACCCCGAGGAAAAGAAAUCAACCGAGAUUCCCCCAGUAGCGGCGAGCGAACGGGGAGCAGCCCAGAGUCUGAAUCAGCUUGUGUGUUAGUGGAACGGUCUGGAAAGUCCGACGGUACAGGGUGAUAGUCCCGUACACGAAAGCACACUUGCUGUGAACUCGAAGAGUAGGGCGGGACACGUGGUAUCCUGUCUGAAUAUGGGGGGACCAUCCUCCAAGGCUAAAUACUCCUGACUGACCGAUAGUGAACCAGUACCGUGAGGGAAAGGCGAAAAGAACCCCGGCGAGGGGAGUGAAAAAGAACCUGAAACCGUGUACGUACAAGCAGUGGGAGCACCUUCGUGGUGUGACUGCGUACCUUUUGUAUAAUGGGUCAGCGACUUAUAUUCUGUAGCAAGGUUAACCGUAUAGGGGAGCCGAAGGGAAACCGAGUCUUAACUGGGCGUUAAGUUGCAGGGUAUAGACCCGAAACCCGGUGAUCUAGCCAUGGGCAGGUUGAAGGUUGGGUAACACUAACUGGAGGACCGAACCGACUAAUGUUGAAAAAUUAGCGGAUGACUUGUGGCUGGGGGUGAAAGGCCAAUCAAACCGGGAGAUAGCUGGUUCUCCCCGAAAGCUAUUUAGGUAGCGCCUCGUGAACUCAUCUUCGGGGGUAGAGCACUGUUUCGGCUAGGGGGCCAUCCCGGCUUACCAACCCGAUGCAAACUACGAAUACCGAAGAAUGUUAUCACGGGAGACACACGGCGGGUGCUAACGUCCGUCGUGAAGAGGGAAACAACCCAGACCGCCAGCUAAGGUCCCAAAGUCAUGGUUAAGUGGGAAACGAUGUGGGAAGGCACAGACAGCCAGGAUGUUGGCUUAGAAGCAGCCAUCAUUUAAAGAAAGCGUAAUAGCUCACUGGUCGAGUCGGCCUGCGCGGAAGAUGUAACGGGGCUAAACCAUGCACCGAAGCUGCGGCAGCGACGCUUAUGCGUUGUUGGGUAGGGGAGCGUUCUGUAAGCCGUUGAAGGUGGCCUGUGAGGGUUGCUGGAGGUAUCAGAAGUGCGAAUGCUGACAUAAGUAACGAUAAUGCGGGUGAAAAGCCCGCACGCCGGAAGACCAAGGGUUCCUGUCCAACGUUAAUCGGGGCAGGGUGAGUCGACCCCUAAGGCGAGGCCGAAAGGCGUAGUCGAUGGGAAACAGGUUAAUAUUCCUGUACUUGGUGUUACUGCGAAGGGGGGACGGAGAAGGCUAUGUUAGCCGGGCGACGGUUGUCCCGGUUUAAGCAUGUAGGCGGAGGUUCCAGGUAAAUCCGGUACCUUAUUAACGCUGAGGUGUGAUGACGAGGCACUACGGUGCUGAAGUAACAAAUGCCCUGCUUCCAGGAAAAGCCUCUAAGCAUCAGGUAACAUCAAAUCGUACCCCAAACCGACACAGGUGGUCAGGUAGAGAAUACCAAGGCGCUUGAGAGAACUCGGGUGAAGGAACUAGGCAAAAUGGUGCCGUAACUUCGGGAGAAGGCACGCUGAUAUGUAGGUGAAGCCCCUGCGGGUGGAGCUGAAAUCAGUCGAAGAUACCAGCUGGCUGCAACUGUUUAUUAAAAACACAGCACUGUGCAAACACGAAAGUGGACGUAUACGGUGUGACGCCUGCCCGGUGCCGGAAGGUUAAUUGAUGGGGUUAGCGGCAACGCGAAGCUCUUGAUCGAAGCCCCGGUAAACGGCGGCCGUAACUAUAACGGUCCUAAGGUAGCGAAAUUCCUUGUCGGGUAAGUUCCGACCUGCACGAAUGGCGUAAUGAUGGCCAGGCUGUCUCCACCCGAGACUCAGUGAAAUUGAACUCGCUGUGAAGAUGCAGUGUACCCGCGGCAAGACGGAAAGACCCCGUGAACCUUUACUAUAGCUUGACACUGAACACUGGUCCUUGAUGUGUAGGAUAGGUGGGAGGCUUUGAAGCGUGGACGCCAGUCUGCGUGGAGCCAUCCUUGAAAUACCACCCUUUAAUGGCUGGUGUUCUAACGUAGACCCGUGAUCCGGGUUGCGGACAGUGUCUGGUGGGUAGUUUGACUGGGGCGGUCUCCUCCCAAAGAGUAACGGAGGAGCACGAAGGUUAGCUAAUCCUGGUCGGACAUCAGGAGGUUAGUGCAAUGGCAUAAGCUAGCUUGACUGCGAGAGUGACGGCUCGAGCAGGUGCGAAAGCAGGUCAUAGUGAUCCGGUGGUUCUGAAUGGAAGGGCCAUCGCUCAACGGAUAAAAGGUACUCCGGGGAUAACAGGCUGAUACCGCCCAAGAGUUCAUAUCGACGGCGGUGUUUGGCACCUCGAUGUCGGCUCAUCACAUCCUGGGGCUGAAGUAGGUCCCAAGGGUAUGGCUGUUCGCCAUUUAAAGUGGUACGCGAGCUGGGUUUAGAACGUCGUGAGACAGUUCGGUCCCUAUCUGCCGUGGGCGCUGGAGAAUUGAGGGGGGCUGCUCCUAGUACGAGAGGACCGGAGUGGACGCAUCACUGGUGUUCGGGUUGUCAUGCCAAUGGCACUGCCCGGUAGCUAAAUGCGGAAAAGAUAAGUGCUGAAAGCAUCUAAGCACGAAACUUGCCCCGAGAUGAGUUCUCCCUGAGACUUUAAGUCUCCUGAAGGAACGUUGAAGACGACGACGUUGAUAGGUCGGGUGUGUAAGCGCAGCGAUGCGUUGAGCUAACCGAUACUAAUGAACCGUGAGGCUUAACCUU